AAGGACUUAAGUUAAAUAAACUAAUAACCUUCAAAGUUACAAUUAAAAGUUAAUCUUUUAGGCCUUA
rnacentral:tRNA from 1 species